CCUACGGGAGGCAGCAGUGGGGAAUUUUGGACAAUGGGCGCAAGCCUGAUCCAGCAAUGCCGCGUGAGUGAAGAAGGCCUUCGGGUUGUAAAGCUCUUUUGUCAGGGAAGAAAAGGGUCUGGCUAAUAUCUAGGCCUCAUGACGGUACCUGAAGAAUAAGCACCGGCUAACUACGUGCCAGCAGCCGCGGUAAUACGUAGGGUGCAAGCGUUAAUCGGAAUUACUGGGCGUAAAGCGUGCGCAGGCGGUUUUGUAAGACUGUCGUGAAAUCCCCGGGCUCAACCUGGGAAUGGCGAUGGUGACUGCAAGGCUAGAGUUUGGCAGGAGGGGGGUAGAAUUCCACGUGUAGCAGUGAAAUGCGUAGAUAUGUGGAGGAACACCGAUGGCGAAGGCAGCCCCCUGGGUCAAAACUGACGCUCAUGCACGAAAGCGUGGGGAGCAAACAGGAUUAGAUACCCUGGUAGUCCACGCCCUAAACGAUGUCUACUAGUUGUCGGGUCUUAAUUGACUUGGUAACGCAGCUACGCGUGAGUAGACCGCCGUGGGAGGUACGGUCGCGAGAAGUUAAACGUACGAAAGAAGUAGACGCGUGAGAGNGCGACGGACGACGACGAGGGAGGAGG
rnacentral:rRNA from 1 species